UAACAUCAUGGCAGAUUUUUAGCCAAUCCAAUGCUUUCCCUAUGGAAAAGCAUUGGAUUGGGUAAAAAUCUGCCAUGAUGUUACAAAGGGG